AGCGAGGUGGUCCGGUACACGGGACCCGUGGGUCUGGGGUGCCUGACCGGCACGCGCGCGGGCGACGCGGUGGACGUUCGGGUCGUACCCCCGCCG
rnacentral:tRNA from 1 species